rnacentral:rRNA from 1 species
AAGCCUGAUGCAGCAACGCCGCGUGAACGAUGAAGGUCUUCGGAUCGUAAAGUUCUGUUGCAGGGGAAGAUAAUGACGGUACCCUGUGAGGAAGCCCCGGCUAACUACGUGCCAGCAGCCGCGGUAAUACGUAGGGGGCUAGCGUUAUCCGGAUUUACUGGGCGUAAAGGGUGCGUAGGUGGUCCUUCAAGUCGGUGGUUAAAGGCUACGGCUCAACCGUAGUAAGCCGCCGAAACUGGAGGACUUGAGUGCAGGAGAGGAAAGUGGAAUUCCCAGUGUAGCGGUGAAAUGCGUAGAUAUUGGGAGGAACACCAGUAGCGAAGGCGGCUUUCUGGACUGCAACUGACACUGAGGCACGAAAGCGUGGGUAGCAAACAGGAUUAGAUACCCUGGUAGUCCACGCUGUAAACGAUGAGUACUAGGUGUCGGGGGUUACCCCCCUCGGUGCCGCAGCUAACGCAUUAAGUACUCCGCCUGGGGAGUACGCACGCAAGUGUGAAACUCAAAGGAAUUGACGGGGACCCGCACAAGUAGCGGAGCAUGUGGUUUAAUUCGAAGCAACGCGAAGAACCUUA